CAGAGCAAUAAAUGCUGCUAUAUUUUGACGAAGGACCUCCCCCUAGAUUCUCAGCGCUGGGCAUCCUUGCAGCGGACCUUCCCGAAUCAGGUUCAUGGCCAUCUUUUGAUAUCGAAGCUGAUGGGGACCAACUAUGAACAAACCGAUUCUACAUGCCAGAAAAAACAGAAACAAGAUCUCUGACCCCAAAACCCAAUUAAACAAGAAAUGAGCAUGACUUCAGGGUGGCCUUCCUCAGUGGAACUCCAUUCAUCAGCACUUUAAACUUGCCAAGAUCCGUGACACUUCUCCAGUGAGAAACAUAUAUAACUGACAUUCUGUCAAGGCAAUGAAGAAGGGACAUUGAAACUGACAUCCUGCUGCCACCAUUUACACAUCUCAAUAUCUAAAAGGUGGACUCCCUUAAUGGUAAUGAAACUCAUUUUACCACCUUGCCCUCGAGAGAACAAGUCAUUCUGCAUAUACCUUCACCAUUAACAGCGAGGAUAUUCAGAAACUAUUUAUAAGGAAAAAGAUAAGGAACAGAGAAAGGUGUGUUUUAAUAUACAGUACCAAACGUGAAAAUAAAACUCCCAGAUAUAACAGGA